rnacentral:rRNA from 1 species
GUGGGGAAUAUUGGACAAUGGGCGAAAGCCUGAUCCAGCAAUGCCGCGUGAGUGAAGAAGGCCUUAGGGUUGUAAAACUCUUUCACCGGGGAAGAUAAUGACGGUACCCGGAGAAGAAGCCCCGGCCAACUCCGUGCCAGCAGCCGCGGUAAUACGGAGGGGGCUAGCGUUGUUCGGAAUUACUGGGCGUAAAGCGCGCGUAGGCGGUUUGCCAAGUCAGGCGUGAAAGCCCCGGGCUCAACCCGGGAACUGCGUUUGAAACUGGCAAGCUUGAGGCCGGGAGAGGGUAGUGGAAUUCCCAGUGUAGAGGUGAAAUUCGUAGAUAUUGGGAAGAACACCGGUGGCGAAGGCGGCUACCUGGACCGGUUCUGACGCUGAGGUGCGAAAGCGUGGGGAGCAAACAGG